ACUCGUAAGCAUAAACACGGAUAUCUCGGAAACUAUCAAAGAUAGAGAAUUGGGAUCUCAGACCUAGAUUCCGUUGCCUUGACCGCAGCGCAAGUUUGUUACGCAAAUAUGCCAAGCCCACUCUAAAAAAACACCCAUAAAACGUUUGCCACGCCCACUGUAACUCCAAUAACGCCUAAACCUGUCUGCCGCCCACAUAACCAUAUAUUCAGAUCGCUGGUAGGUGGCGCAUUACAAUCUCGCUUUGCUGCUUGCAUAUCUCCAUCCCCCUUUGGUCCCUUUAGCUGAGUAACGGGCAUCUGAUAGUAGAGGUACUAGACUACACUCAUAAAAUAUUUUGUUUUCUCAAACGUUUAAAGACACAUGGGUUGUACAAAAUUUGUAAUGUUACCAAAACUGGAAGGAGGUGAAACAAUUUUGUUUAAAUUUAAUUUCGAAUUUCUGCACUUUUAAAACGCGUUAAAAAUUGUUAAGGGUUUUGGCAGCGAUUUUCUGUCUAUUUGAUUCAUCAUCAGAAAUUUGCACUUAACCACUUCCGUUGAAUUGAUAGACUUAAAUAGAUUUUUAGAAUCGCUGAGUCAACAUUUUUCAAAAUGACUGGGGCACUUUACGUUACUAUAUCAAGCGAUCAUUUAAAAAAUGUAUGUAUCUACUUGCGUUUUGUGAGCACCUUAUUAAUCACGCGCUACGAUUUUGUUAUAGGGAACGCAUCGAUCAAAGCAAAUUACGUUAUACUCGUUUUGCCCAUAGUAACUUAUGGGAAUACAUACAAACAUACCUGAAAACUCAAGCUGAUCCGCUGACAGGUACUUAUACCUAACAUGUGAACAGUUGAAUCGAGACUACUUUUAAAUAAAAGUAAACAAGAAUAAACGCUAAAUUCGUGUGGCUCGCCUAUCAGAUGCCCUUUACUCUAUUUACUAAUUUUAAAAUAAAUAGACUUCCUCCAAAAAUUGACAUUAGUGUUAAAAGACGCGAAAAAACAUUUUUUACACUGUCGAUAUGUUAUGUGUUUUUAACGUAAUUUUUUAAUAACAUUUUUUAUAUGCCAUUUUAAAAAAAUUUGGUAUGCCAAUAGUUUUUCACAAAAAAAUGAGUUAAACUUGAAAAAUCCUUGCGACCUGUAUGUUUUACAUUGGGCGUGUCCACAUUUUAAUCGAAUUUUCAAUCAUCACUAGACGCUAUAUGCUUUAUCCAAAUUCCUUUAGCAUUUAUAGUUUCCGAGAUCUUGCCGUUUAUACGCAUAGGCAGGCGGACUCGAAAAAAUCAAGAGAAUAUACAUUAGGGCGGUUCGAUUUGUAGGGGACCAAAAAAAGCAAAAGGAUUGUAAGCAAUGUUGGCGAACACACUUAUGGUCUAGUAUGGCGUUUGAACACACGUCCUUAAAAAUUACGUUCCCUUUAUACAAAAUCAAUACCAAAUCGACACGCCCUAGCACUCACAGUACAAUUAAAUAUUUUUUAUGGUUGCGUCCCCUUACAAAGUUCUCCGCGUAUUACUGUAUUCGAGUAAUGAGUAUACAGAACACAACGUUCGUUGCAACUUACAACAAGAUCGGAAACUUAAAUAGGAAUUCAGAGUGUCAUAAUAAUACGUUUUUUAAAACCAUACUGAAGAAAUGCAUUAAUUAUCUGCACACUACAAUUUGUGUAUAUUCAUCAUAUAACCUUUUCGAUUUAAGCAUUUCAUAAGCAACAUCACUGGACGAAGCGCACCAGGAGAGUUUACGUAGGCAAAGAAAUGAAAAUCUACUGUGAUGGUCCUAUUCUAGGCAGUGAUACACUGAUCGAAGGGUAUCGCAAAAACUUAAAUGAUAGUAUACCAAGACUUUAAUAUUGGUAAUUGGUUUGGGAGAAAAAGAAAGUACAAAUUAUAUAGUCGGAUAUAUUUCGCCUUAGAAAGGGUAUAAGUGCAGUGGCACGCGCCAACAGCGAAGAGAAAACAAAAGAAGUUAAGUAAAGGGGUGAUAGGAAGACUUUGUGCAUUCUGUUUGAGUGAUUGAAAGGGAAGCAUCCAUUUAAAUUGUGCUCAGCAGAGUUACCUUAAUCGUUACUUGAAGUUAAUAAAAUAAAGUCAGGUAUUUGAUGGGUUCCGUUAGGCGAAAGUGGAUGAUGAAAUGUUUUGUGCCAAUAAAAAUCCUGCAAAGGGUUAAACACAGCUAUAAAAGGAGCGUUGGCCAAGGAUUCGGAGGACCCGGGCAAAGGUUAAAGAAAGGCGAUGACAAAUGUUUAAAAUAAGCUUACAAAAAAACAGAAACAAUAAUUGUCCAUUAGUUGAAAAUUUGAAUAAUACCAUCU